AGUGAACGCUGGCGGUAGGCCUAACACAUGCAAGUCGAACGGCAGCACAGUAAGAGCUUGCUCUUACGGGUGGCGAGUGGCGGACGGGUGAGGAAUACAUCGGAAUCUACUUUUUCGUGGGGGAUAACGUAGGGAAACUUACGCUAAUACCGCAUACGACCUACGGGUGAAAGCAGGGGAUCUUCGGACCUUGCGCGAUUGAAUGAGCCGAUGUCGGAUUAGCUAGUUGGCGGGGUAAAGGCCCACCAAGGCGACGAUCCGUAGCUGGUCUGAGAGGAUGAUGAGGGAAACUGGAAGUGAGACACGGGCGAGAGCACUCCGGGAGGAAGCAGUGGGGAUUAGUGGACAAUGGGCGAAAGUCUGAUACAGCAAUACCGCGUAGGUGAAGAAGGCCUUCGGGUUGUUAAGCGCUCUUGUGGGGAAAGAAAAGAAGCAGGUUAAUAACCCGCUGGUCUGACGGUACCAAAAGAAUAAGCAACGGCUAACUUCGUG
rnacentral:rRNA from 1 species